UACCUGCAGCUCAAGUGGUGACCGCUAUUAUUGGGCCUAAAACGUUCGUAGCCGGCUGAGUAAAUGCUUGGGUAAAUCGUGCCGCUUAACGGUACGAAUUCCGGGUAGACUGCUCAGCUUGAGACCGGGAGAAGCUAGAGGUACUCCUGGGGUAGAGGUGAAAUUCUGUAAUCCUGGGGGGACCACCAGUGGCGAAGGCGUCUAGCUAGAACGGGUCUGACGGUGAGGGACGAAACCCUGGGGCGCAAACCGGAUUAGAUACCCGGGUAGUCCAGGGCGCAAACGCUGCUUGCUUGAUGUUAGCUGGGCUCCGAGCUCAGCUAGUGUCGGAGAGAAGUUGUUAAGCAAGCUGCCUGGGAAUACGAUCGCAAGAUUGAAACUUAAGGAAUUGGCGGGGAGCGCAGCAACGGGUGGAGCGUGCGGUUU
rnacentral:rRNA from 1 species